AGAAAUGAUCCCUACCUUCUGUUCUCAUCCUUCAAUCUCAUCGGGAGAUGUCGUUAUAGGAAGGGUUUGGUCUAGCUCCUCCUCUGAUCCUUUAUCAAACUCACUUUCUGUACAAUUGUUUCACAAGCUGCUUCUGGAUUUUUGUUAUUUGGUGAAUCUGCAGUGGCUUCUUUUCUUCAUGGAGUGAAAGUGUUUGUCUGAGGAUGUCAAGGAUGACGACACCGGUCAGCUUGUUUCAUAAAACACGGAUGUUUGGGCUUUUUGGAGGACUGAUAAUCCUUUUGCUGUUUCUUUUUUCUUGGUUGAGAUGAUGAACUAGUAGUCUUUUAGGGGAUGGGCUGAAAAUUUGCUGGUCUUUAUUGGAAUUUGUUCUUUGUUUUUUUUUUUUUUUAUCUUUGCAGAUUGAUUAUCAUCUAGUCCUGAUCCUCUCACGGGUCGGAGUUUUGCUAGACUCGACUAAGUGGUGAUCUGGUGCGAGCUGAUGAUUGUCUGAAGUUGGAUAAGCUCUUUCACCUCUGGAGGCGGUUAUCGGUUUGAUUGAAAUUUGUUCUCCAGUCCCAUAAUUUUCCAAUUAAUGCAAAACCUGAUUCUCAUUCCUUCGGAGUUCGGUGUUUUAUUGAUGUAUGACCUGUGAUGGUUCUUUGCAAGGUGUAUGCAUCACAACAGAUUACUAUCUAAUACGGAUCCGCUUGCUGGUGUUUCCUUCCCAGAAAUAGUCCCUUCCUCAUGUUCUCUUCGUGCAUCUAUGAUUGUGCAUGCAUUCCUCAAUCGGCUGACACCCUUACUCUUCAAAGGAGACAUCGUUCCUGAAAACGCACUCCUGGCCUGUCUUCUUUUCUUUUUAUUUCUUGAUUGGUUUUAAAAUCAGUCUGAUUCUGUUUACGCUAUGUUAUUUUCUGAAGGAAUGCCUGGCCUCUCUUGGACUCUGCCAUGUUGUGGGCAGUGUUAAGUGGUUUCUUUCUUCUCGGAGCAAUCAUUUUCUCUGAGGAUGAUGUCUGAGAGGACAAUGAAUAUGAUCCAGCUGGACAAACGAUGGACUGAAAUUUUGACAACCUUCUAGGCUUCUUUUUCAAAUGGAAAGUUUUACUGGUUUUGACAGCUGGUGAUCUGUUGCGUUUUCUGUGGGGCUGAGUUGAUAAUUGUUCAAAAUUGUAUGAGCUCCUGCUUCCCGGAUUUUAGGCAGUUAUUGGUUUGAAUGGAACUUGUCCUGUCCUUCUGUUAUUUCUUUGUUAAUCCGAAAGAUCAGAUCUAGUUCUCUUCCCUUUGCAGAUCAGAUUUUGGUCGAGGCAAUACUUUACGUGGCCAAGUUCGAUAUGGAGUGUCUAUGAUCUGUGAUGUUCUUUCUUGCUGCAUAAACAUCAAUUUCUGAUUUGUCUUCCACUUAUGUUAUCGUCUAGUUAAGGUGGUUAUCAUCUAGUUGAGGUGGAACAAUCAGUUAUUCUCUUUUCUUCGCAGGUCAUAGUUUGGUCAAGGCAAUACCUUACCUCGUCAAUUUCGAGAUGGAGUGUCUGUGGUCCAUGAUGGUUCUUUCUUGCUGCAUAAGAAUUAAUUCAUAGGACAAGCUCUCCUUUCAGAGUGCUUUCUUGUCUGAAAAGUUCUACACAAUUGGUUUCAC